rnacentral:tRNA from 1 species
GGAAGCGCAUGGGGACCGGUGUCCCCCGCGGUCUUCAAAACCGUUUGUCGGGCGGUCGACCCGUCCGGGGUGGGUUCGACUCCCACACGCUUCC